AGUGUUUAGAAAGUAACUUAAAGUAAUUAGUAAUAUGAUUAAUUUUUCAAUGAAGUAAUCUGAUUGUAAUUUUAGAGAAUUAAUUUGUAAUUUGUAGUGGAUAAGUAACUUACCCAACACUGAUAAUGUAACCUGUUUGUGUUUGAGAUCGAAGAACGUGAACUUCGCUGAUCAAGUUUGCUGAACUUCAACUCCUUUGCACUAAAAAGACACACUGGGCUCCAUAACUCAUGUCCUGAGAGGCAGAAGGCUGACCACCACCCUCCCAGUUUUAAUUGAGCAGUGUCAUAGCCCGAGGUGGACUGGCUGUCAGGAGCACCGGGCGUUUUCCUGCUGGUAAUUUAGGCCGGCCCAUUGCUGCACAAGUACCGCCCCGUCCUACAGGCGAUAUAAGCGGCCACCCUGGGCUCCAACAUGGCUGCGCGGACCCAAUUACAGAGUGAAUAUUCACCAAACUUUGUAAGUUAGACAGGGGCUGGAGGUUGGGGGUAGAUAUCACUGACGGUCGCUCUCACCCCCCACACAGGGCACACCAGGUGAGAGAUGGAGAGAAAGAGAGAGUGAAAAGAGAGAAUGAGCGACUCACAGCUGUGGAGUUCUUUACAGGCAGGCGAGAGGGCCCUGCAGGCACAUCUCAUUAUUUGAAGGUCAUCCUUUUUCAUAAGAGUUAAACCCAGUGACAUGUUAAAGUCUGUCCCAACCAAUCUGCUGGACCACAAUUGAUGGUCAAGGGGAGUAAACAGCAGUCAGGUCAUAAUGAAAGCAAAAGGAACUGGGAUAGAAUUACAGCGUGGCAUCAUUAUUUUGUUAUUCACCAUUUUUAUCCAAUCUAUUAUUUGAAGGUUUUAUUUUUCAGUGAAGACAUUUUAAAGAGAUAGUCCACCCAAAAUGAAAAUUCUGUCAUCAAUUACUCACCCUCAUAUCAUUCAGAAUGUGUAUGACUUUACUUUCUUCCAUGGAACACAAAGGAUACAUUUUGGAGAAUGUUGAUGUUGUUCUUUCACAUACAAUGACAGAAAGUGGUGACUGAGGCUAACGCUGUUCCUUAAAUCUCCUUCUGUGUUCCGCAUAAGAAAGAAAGUCAUACAGGUUUGGAACAACAUGAGGGAGGGUAAAUAAUUACAGAAUUUUUAUUUUUAUUUUGUAAAGCCUUGGCUCAUUGUACUUUGAUAAACAUUAGAGUAUAUCAAGUCUCUUUUUGUUAUUUCUUAACCAGUUCAUGUUUUGUUAAAUUGAUAUAAUUAUGCAUAAAUAGUGUUGUCAUUUUAUUUUAUUUUUUUACAGGGAUUGAAGUUACCGAUGUUAAAAUCUCCCCUAUAAAUGAUAAAAUGAUGAAAAUGUAAAAUGUCUAUAUAUAAAUAAGAAACUGAAACAGAGGACAGUUGGAUCUUUACUCUUUUAUGGUUGCUCCACUGGGUCUAGGCAUGUAACCCAAUUAACUUAUAAUUGAUGCGCUUUGAAAAUUAAUUAACUCCAAAUCCAAAGGCUGGCUUAUAAUUAACUGUCUGCUUUACAUAAUGCAUUUAGGAAGGGGGUGCUGUUAUAGAUUGUGACUGAUGCACUAUGGUGAACCCAAAAGCCCACUGUUCAAGACUGCCUUCUAUGAAGUCAUAUGUCAGCAUGCAGGACACUGUACACUGAAUUAAUUUAGAAAUUUGUGAUUACUGGGCUUUUAUCAUGCAUAUAUCUGCAUAUGAGAAUGAAAUGCUGUAACCACAAAUGUCGUAUUGUAAUGAGGAUUUUAAGUAUGUGGUAAUUUCAAUAACGUGCUAAGCUUUUUUAGAGAAUCUGAGAUAUGCUGUAUAUAUAUUUUAUUUAUCCUGCUUUCACAGAAUAUAGCUACAGGUCUAGUGUUGUGAAAAGUCAAUGGCUGUAUUUUACAAUAUCAAACUGUUUUACAGUGGUUCAGGAAAAGCAAUACAUAUUUGUAAGUUUCUCUCAUAACAUAGAUUGCCGCCCAACAAAGUGUUUACUGGCAAUGAUUGCUUUAUUGGCAACAACUAUGUGAUUCAUAAUUUAGAGCCAUAAUUUUUAAUGUGCUCUUUUCUGCCUCAGCAUGUAUAUUUCAUCCCUGUGUCUCAAUGGCCAUAAAACGCAUCCACUAGAUCUGCAUUGGGUCACGACUCACUACAAGCCCAAUGAGGAUCUCGGCAAACAGAUGCUCAGAAUUAGCAAUGACAGCUAAUUUAAGCCUUACUGUACACAUACAUUAUACUGUAAAAGAAGUCUUCACGUGACAUGUGCUACUGUAGAAUGAAGAGGCAAAUAUGGAUGAAAUUUGAGAACAUAAGCUUUUGUGAUAUUUCUGUGCCAUGCAUGGGAUUUAAUAUAUACAUUUUAACCAUGUGCAAUUUUUUCACAAGUUCAGAUACAGUGUAUUUUAGAUAAUUUGUUUAUAUGCAUACAUUUGUAUUUUCAUAUUGGCUGUCUGGGAAGUCUAAGCCAGCUACAUCUCACUUGUAAAGAUCUUCUGCAUCCUGCAGUGAAUUCUGAGUCUGUUGUUUGGCUGCUUGUUUUAUGAUUGAGUGCAUGUAAUUGAGUCAUAAGACAAGAGUGCAACCCUCGCAGUUUGAAUAAAAAUCAGUGCCUGUAUUAGGUAGUAUUUUCUAGUUUGCAUUUCAUACAUUUGAAAAAGUCAAAAUAUAAUUAAAUCUAGUGAGCAUCUUCCAACUUACAGUGAUUUGGCUUGUUCUCUGUGUUUUGUCCCAGAAGUAAAUAACUUUCAGAACUAGAAAUGCACAAAUAUGUGUGCCAGCAUCAGAUAA